GAUUAGUGGCGAACGGGUGAGUAACACGUGAGUAACCUGCCCCUGACUCUGGGAUAAGCGUUGGAAACGACGUCUAAUACUGGAUAUGAUCACUGGCCGCAUGGUCUGGUGGUGGAAAGAUUUUUUGGUUGGGGAUGGACUCGCGGCCUAUCAGCUUGUUGGUGAGGUAAUGGCUCACCAAGGCGACGACGGGUAGCCGGCCUGAGAGGGUGACCGGCCACACUGGGACUGAGACACGGCCCAGACUCCUACGGGAGGCAGCAGUGGGGAAUAUUGCACAAUGGGCGAAAGCCUGAUGCAGCAACGCCGCGUGAGGGAUGACGGCCUUCGGGUUGUAAACCUCUUUUAGUAGGGAAGAAGCGAAAGUGACGGUACCUGCAGAAAAAGCACCGGCUAACUACGUGCCAGCAGCCGCGGUAAUACGUAGGGUGCAAGCGUUGUCCGGAAUUAUUGGGCGUAAAGAGCUCGUAGGCGGUUUGUCGCGUCUGCUGUGAAAUCCCGAGGCUCAACCUCGGGCUUGCAGUGGGUACGGGCAGACUAGAGUGCGGUAGGGGAGAUUGGAAUUCCUGGUGUAGCGGUGGAAUGCGCAGAUAUCAGGAGGAACACCGAUGGCGAAGGCAGAUCUCUGGGCCGUAACUGACGCUGAGGAGCGAAAGCAUGGGGAGCGAACAGGAUUAGAUACCCUGGUAGUCCAUGCCGUAAACGUUGGGCGCUAGAUGUAGGGACCUUUCCACGGUUUCUGUGUCGUAGCUAACGCAUUAAGCGCCCCGCCUGGGGAGUACGGCCCGAAGGCUAAAACUCAAAGGAAUUGACGGGGGCCCGCACAAGCGGCGGAGCAUGCGGAUUAAUUCGAUGCAACGCGAAGAACCUUACCAAGGCUUGACAUACACCGGAAACGGCCAGAGAUGGUCGCCCCCUUGUGGUCGGUGUACAGGUGGUGCAUGGUUGUCGUCAGCUCGUGUCGUGAGAUGUUGGGUUAAGUCCCGCAACGAGCGCAACCCUCGUUCUAUGUUGCCAGCGGGUUAUGCCGGGGACUCAUAGGAGACUGCCGGGGUCAACUCGGAGGAAGGUGGGGAUGACGUCAAAUCAUCAUGCCCCUUAUGUCUUGGGCUUCACGCAUGCUACAAUGGCCGGUACAAAGGGCUGCGAUACCGUAAGGUGGAGCGAAUCCCAAAAAGCCGGUCUCAGUUCGGAUUGAGGUCUGCAACUCGACCUCAUGAAGUCGGAGUCGCUAGUAAUCGCAGAUCAGCAACGCUGCGGUGAAUACGUUCCCGGGCCUUGUACACACCGCCCGUCAAGUCAUGAAAGUCGGUAACACCCGAAGCCGGUG
rnacentral:rRNA from 1 species